rnacentral:rRNA from 1 species
GACGAACGCUGGCGGCGUGCUUAACACAUGCAAGUCGAGCGGUAAGGCCCUUUCGGGGGUACACGAGCGGCGAACGGGUGAGUAACACGUGGGUGACUUGCCCUCAGCUCUGGGAUAAGCCUGGGAAACUGGGUCUAAUACUGGAUAUGACUCCACGGUGCAUGUCGUGGGGUGGAAAGCCUUGUGCGGCUGAGGAUGGGCCCGCGGCCUAUCAGCUUGUUGGUGGGGGA